AGCGAACGCUGGCGGCAGGCCUAACACAUGCAAGUCGAACGAAGUCUUCGGACUUAGUGGCGGACGGGUGGGUAACACGUGGGAACGUGCCUUUAGGUUCGGAAUAACUCAGGGAAACUUGUGCUAAUACCGAAUGUGCCCUUCGGGGGAAAGAUUUAUCGCCUUUAGAGCGGCCCGCGUCUGAUUAGCUAGUUGGUGAGGUAAAGGCUCACCAAGGCUACGAUCAGUAGCUGGUCUGAGAGGAUGACCAGCCACAUUGGGACUGAGACACGGCCCAAACUCCUACGGGAGGCAGCAGUGGGGAAUCUUGCGCAAUGGGCGAAAGCCUGACGCAGCCAUGCCGCGUGGAUGAUGAAGGUCUUAGGAUUGUAAAAUCCUUUCACCGGUGAAGAUAAUGACUGUAGCCGGAGAAGAAGCCCCGGCUAACUUCGUGCCAGCAGCCGCAGUAAAAC
rnacentral:rRNA from 1 species